GUGAAUCAUCGAAUCUUUGAACGCACAUUGCGCCCGCCAGCAUUCUGGCGGGCAUGCCUGUUCGAGCGUCAUUUCAACCCUCAGGCCCUGCCUGGCGUUGGAGGACUGCGCACGCAGCCUCCCAAAGCGAGCGGCGGCGGCGCCCCGAAACCGAACGCAGUAGUUACCUCUCGUUCUGGGUCCGGGUCGUUGUCCUGCCGGAAAACCCCCAUCUUAUCAAUGGUUGACCUCGAAUCAGGUAGGAAUACCCGCUGAACUUAAGCAUAUCAAUAAGCGGAGGA
rnacentral:misc_RNA from 1 species